GGUUCUAUAGUGUAGUGGUUAUCACGUCUGCUUUACACGCAGAAGGUCCUGGGUUCGAUCCCUAGUGGAACCA